UACGUAGGGAGCGAGCGUUGUCCGGAAUUACUGGGCGUAAAGGGUGCGUAGGUGGCCAAGCAAGUCAGAUGUGAAAUCCCCGGGCUUAACUCGGGGGGUGCAUUUGAAACUGCGUGGCUUGAGUGCAGGAGAGGAAAGCGGAAUUCCUAGUGUAGCGGUGAAAUGCGUAGAUAUUAGGAGGAACACCAGUGGCGAAGGCGGCUUUCUGGACUGUAACUGACACUGAGGCACGAAAGCGUGGGGAGCAAACAGG
rnacentral:rRNA from 1 species